ACAACAUCUAUCUACUAAAAUGCAAUUUUUUAAAAAUAUAUUUGUGGUUUGAGGUAACCGUGAGUUGCCAAAAUCACAUACCGCAACCGCAACCACAAUUGUGGUUCAGUUUCUAAAAUCGCAAUUUUCGGUCAGUUUAUACCUAUUGCGGUUCCAAUGCGGUAUAAUAUCAGUUGGUUUUUGCGGUUUUUCAGUUUUUCAAUCUAAAAUGCCAC
rnacentral:lncRNA from 1 species